rnacentral:misc_RNA from 1 species
GAUGAAGAACGUAGCGAAAUGCGAUAAGUAAUGUGAAUUGCAGAAUUCAGUGAACCAUCGAAUCUUUGAACGCACAUUGCGCCCGGCAGUAAUCUGCCGGGCAUGCCUGUCCGAGCGUCAUUUCUCCCCUCGAGCGCAGCUUUCCCCCCCGGGGGAGGGCCGCGCCCGGUGUUGGGGCGCUACGGAGGAGCCCAGCGCUCCCCCGUAGGCCCCGAAAUGUAGUGGCGGUCCCGCCGCGGCGCCCCCUGCGUAGUAGUUUUACAACUCGCAUCGGGUCCCGGCGGAGGCCAGCCGUCAAACCCCCCACCUUCAAUAGUUUGACCUGGGAUCAGGUAGGGUUACCCGCUGAACUUAAGCAUAUCAAUAAGCGGAGGA